GCAGUCGUGGCCGAGUGGUUAAGGCGACGGACUAGAAAUCCAUUGGAGUCUCCCCGCACAGGUUCGAAUCCUGUCGACUGCG
rnacentral:tRNA from 1 species